rnacentral:sRNA from 1 species
CUUCCUCGAUCUGCUGGGGCGCGAUGAAGUGGAUAUGGGCAUCCAUACCGCCCGAUGUGAGGAUGCGGCCUUCGCCGGCGAUGAUCUCGGUCGAGGGGCCGAUGAUGAUGGUGACGCCGGACUGGGUAUCGGGAUUGCCGGCCUUGCCAAUGGCAUGGAUGCGGCCAUCCUUGAGGCCGAUAUCGGCCUUGUAGAUGCCGGUGACAUCGACCACGAGCGCAUUGGUGAUGACGGUAUCGACCGCACCCUCGGCACGAGUGCGCUGGGACUGGCCCAUGCCAUCGCGGAU